rnacentral:rRNA from 1 species
GGAGCAUGUGGUUAAUUCGAAGCAACGCGAAGAACCUUACCAGGUCUUGACAUCCGAUGCUAUUUCUAGAGAUAGAAGUUACUUCGGUACAUCGGUGACAGGUGGUGCAUGGUUGUCGUCAGCUCGUGUCGUGAGAUGUUGGGUUAAGUCCCGCAACGAGCGCAACCCCUAUUGUUAGUUGCCAUCAUUCAGUUGGGCACUCUAGCGAGACUGCCCGCGAAAGCGGGAGGAAGAGGGGACGACGUCUGGUCAGCAUGGCCCUUACGGCCUGGGCGACACACGUGCUACAAUGCCCACUACAAAGCGAUGCCACCCGGCAACGGGGAGCUAAUCGCAAAAAGGUGGGCCCAGUUCGGAUUGGGGUCUGCAACCCGACCCCAUGAAGCCGGAAUCGCUAGUAAUCGCGGAUCAGCCAUGCCGCGGUGAAUACGUUCCCGGGCCUU